rnacentral:misc_RNA from 1 species
GAUGAAGAACGUAGUGAAAUGCGAUAAGUAGUGUGAAUUGCAGAAUUCAGUGAAUCAUCAAAUCUUUGAACGCACAUUGCGCCCCUUGGUAUUCCAUGGGGCAUGCCUGUUCGAGCGUCAUUUGUACCUUCAAGCUCUGCUUGGUGUUGGGUGUUUGUCUCGCCUCUGCGUGUAGACUCGCCUCAAAACAAUUGGCAGCCGGCGUAUUGAUUUCGGAGCGCGGUACAUCUCGCGCUUUGCACUCAUAACGACGACGUCCAAAAGUACAUUUUUACACUCUUGACCUCGGAUCAGGUAGGGAUACCCGCUGAACUUAAGCAUAUCAAUAAGCGGAGGA